AUUGAACGCUGGCGGCAGGCCUAACACAUGCAAGUCGAACGGUAACAGGAAGAAGCUUGCUUCUUUGCUGACGAGUGGCGGACGGGUGAGUAAUGUCUGGGAAACUGCCUGAUGGAGGGGGAUAACUACUGGAAACGGUAGCUAAUACCGCAUAACGUCGCAAGACCAAAGAGGGGGACCUUCGGGCCUCUUGCCAUCGGAUGUGCCCAGAUGGGAUUAGCUAGUAGGUGGGGUAACGGCUCACCUAGGCGACGAUCCCUAGCUGGUCUGAGAGGAUGACCAGCCACACUGGAACUGAGACACGGUCCAGACUCCUACGGGAGGCAGCAGUGGGGAAUAUUGCACAAUGGGCGCAAGCCUGAUGCAGCCAUGCCGCGUGUAUGAAGAAGGCCUUCGGGUUGUAAAGUACUUUCAGCGGGGAGGAAGGGAGUAAAGUUAGUACCUUUGCUCAUUGACGUACCCGCA
rnacentral:rRNA from 1 species